rnacentral:rRNA from 1 species
AUUGAACGCUGGCGGCAUGCUUUACACAUGCAAGUCGAACGGCAGCGGGGAGGAGCUUGCUUCUCUGCCGGCGAGUGGCGAACGGGUGAGUAAUACAUCGGAACGUGUCGAGAAGAGGGGGAUAACCACCCGAAAGGGUGGCUAAUACCGCAUAAAUUCUGAGGAAGAAAGCUGGGGACCUAGGAAUAGGCCUAGCGCUUUUUGAGCGGCCGAUGUCGGAUUAGCUAGUUGGUGAGGUAAAGGCUCACCAAGGCGAAGAUCUGUAGCGGGUCUGAGAGGAUGAUCCGCCACACUGGGACUGAGACACGGCCCAGACUCCUACGGGAGGCAGCAGUGGGGAAUUUUGGACAAUGGGGGCAGCCCUGAUCCAGCCAUGCCGCGUGUAUGAAGAAGGCCUUAGGGUUGUAAAGUACUUUUGUUAGGGAAGAAAAGUCAGCUGUGAAUAAUGGCUGAUACUGACGGUACCUAAAGAAUAAGCACCGGCUAACUACGUG